rnacentral:tRNA from 1 species
GGUAUAGCUCAAGUGGUAGAGAGCAUGCUUAGCAUGCAUGAGGUCCUGGGUUCAAUCCCCUGUACC